CCAGGGGCAGCUGCUGUUAACUUGGUUGCUGGAGAAAAGCCCGCAGAUGUUUAUUCAGGAAUUGCUACGAGGGAUGUUACUUUCAAAAAGGGAGGAAGAUCAAGAUGAAGAUGAGCGCGAAGGAAGCCUUUGAGAGGUCGAUGAGGACUUUGUCGGAGUGGAUAAGCCAGGAAGUGAAUCGAAAUAUGUAAUGAUCUUAGAUACUUGAUACUUGGUUCAUUCGGAUGAUAAUGUACGAAUAUUUUGGAUAAUAUAUAAUAUUGUUAUUGUUGAUUUUA